UACGUAGGGACCAAGCGUUGUCCGGGAUCAUUGGGCGUAAAGAGCGUGUAGGCGGCUUGUUAAGUCUUGCGUGAAAUCUCGGGGCUCAACCCCGAGCGGUCGUGAGAAACUGGCAGGCUAGAGUGCGGGAGAGGAGAGUGGAAUUCCUGGUGUAGCGGUGAAAUGCGCAGAUAUCAGGAAGAACACCCGUGGCGAAGGCGGCUCUCUGGAACGCAACUGACGCUGAGACGCGAAAGCGUGGGGAGCAAACAGG
rnacentral:rRNA from 1 species